rnacentral:lncRNA from 1 species
CAGAUCUCCAACCGCUCGGGGUCCCGUGAUUUCCAUUAAUGAAUUCGCACACUGGCGUUACCACUCAACACACCGACGACUGCAUUGUACCAUCACUAGAAUCUAGUGCUUAAUGGCAACUCGCCCUUUCCAAAGGGUCUCAACAAGUUCAGCGAGGUGAAAUUCAGCUUUUGCCCUAUCAUCUGAAUUCACAGGACUUCCAUCUAACAUCUAAGCAAGACGAUAGACAACAAUUAGCUAAAUCUACAUUAUUGGACAUGAUGGCUAAGUAAAAAACAUCACACCAGAAUCAAGGGAUCUUAACAAUGACAGUAAUUGAUGGUGUGUGAAGAAAAAAGGGAAGAUCAGGAGACUUUAACCUGUGGUAUUCCCAUGUUUAGAAGCAAAAUGGGGAACAAAAAGGAAGCGAAUAACAAUCAGAAAAAUAGGAGGAUAACAAUAGUGUAAUAUCAUGGAUGCCAAAGGAGAGUUUCAAAAAGAAGAAGGCAACCAAUAGUGUCAAAUGUUUCAGACAAUUGUAAAAAUUCAAAAAUAAAAAUAUUUAAAAC